AUGGGAUCUAUGAUGCGACUGAUAUAUAUAUAUACGGCGUUGUCUUUCUGUAAAUUCCUACGAGGAAUUGAAGAUAAUUGUAACAUUCUGAGAUCUCAU